UCCAGACUCCUACGGGAGGCAGCAGUGGGGAAUAUUGCGCAAUGGGGGCAACCCUGACGCAGCAACGCCGCGUGCAGGAAGAAGGUCUUCGGAUUGUAAACUGUUGUCGCAGGGGAAGAAGACAGUGACGGUACCCUGUGAGAAAGUCACGGCUAACUCCGUGCCAGCAGCCGCGGUAAUACGGAGGAUGCGAGCGUUAUCCGGAUUUAUUGGGUUUAAAGGGUGCGUAGGCGGGCUGUUAAGGCAGCGGUAAAAGCCCGGGGCGCACCCCCGGCGAGCCGUUGAAACUGGCUGUCUUGAGAUGUCGAGAGGUAUGCGGAAUGCGCAGUGUAGCGGUGAAAUGCUUAGAUAUUGCGCAGAACUCCGAUUGCGAAGGCAGCAUACCGGCGGCGAUCUGACGCUGAGGCACGAAAGCGUGGGUAUCGAACAGGAUUAGAUACCCCCGUAAC
rnacentral:rRNA from 1 species